AUUGAACGCUGGCGGCAUGCCUUACACAUGCAAGUCGAACGGUAACGGGCCUUCGGGUGCCGACGAGUGGCGAACGGGUGAGUAAUGUAUCGGAACGUACCUUUCAGUGGGGGAUAACGUAGCGAAAGUUACGCUAAUACCGCAUAUUCUGUGAGCAGGAAAGCAGGGGAUCGCAAGACCUUGCGCUGAUUGAGCGGCCGAUAUCAGAUUAGGUAGUUGGUGGGGUAAAGGCCCACCAAGCCAACGAUCUGUAGCUGGUCUGAGAGGACGACCAGCCACACUGGAACUGAGACACGGUCCAGACUCCUACGGGAGGCAGCAGUGGGGAAUUUUGGACAAUGGGCGCAAGCCUGAUCCAGCAAUGCCGCGUGCAGGAUGAAGGCCUUCGGGUUGUAAACUGCUUUUGUACGGAACGAAAAGGCUCUGGUUAAUACCUGGGGCUCAUGACGGUACCGUAAGAAUAAGCACCGGCUAACUACGUGCCAGCAGCCGCGGUAAAACG
rnacentral:rRNA from 1 species